rnacentral:rRNA from 1 species
AGUGAACGCUGGCGGUAGGCCUAACACAUGCAAGUCGAACGGCAGCACAGUAAGAGCUUGCUCUUACGGGUGGCGAGUGGCGGACGGGUGAGGAAUACAUCGGAAUCUACUUUUUCGUGGGGGAUAACGUAGGGAAACUUACGCUAAUACCGCAUACGACCUACGGGUGAAAGCAGGGGAUCUUCGGACCUUGCGCGAUUGAAUGAGCCGAUGUCGGAUUAGCUAGUUGGCGGGGUAAAGGCCCACCAAGGCGACGAUCCGUAGCUGGUCUGAGAGGAUGAUCAGCCACACUGGAACUGAGACACGGUCCAGACUCCUACGGGAGGCAGCAGUGGGGAAUAUUGGACAAUGGGCGCAAGCCUGAUCCAGCCAUACCGCGUGGGUGAAGAAGGCCUUCGGGUUGUAAAGCCCUUUUGUUGGGAAAGAAAAGCAGCAGGUUAAUACCCCGCUGUUCUGACGGUACCCAAAGAAUAAGCACCGGCUAACUCCAU